rnacentral:misc_RNA from 1 species
UUGAUUGAUUUGUAUUCAAUACUCGACGCAAAGAUGCAGAGUUGAUUGGUCCUCUGGGGGACUCCCGGCCGCGGACGUCCGGGUCGCCCCCCGAGGCAACAGAUAUUAAUCGACAAAGGGUUGGAGGUUGGGCACGGAGGCCCGCACUCGGUAAUGAUCCCUCCGCAGGUUCACCUACGGAGA